rnacentral:rRNA from 1 species
AUUGAACGCUGGCGGAAUGCUUUACACAUGCAAGUCGAACGGCAGCACGGACUUCGGUCUGGUGGCGAGUGGCGAACGGGUGAGUAAUGUAUCGGAACGUGCCCAGUCGUGGGGGAUAACGUAGUGAAAAUUACGCUAAUACCGCAUACGAUCUAUGGAUGAAAGCGGGGGAUCGCAAGACCUCGCGCGAUUGGAGCGGCCGAUAUCAGAUUAGGUAGUUGGUGGGGUAAAGGCCCACCAAGCCAACGAUCUGUAGCUGGUCUGAGAGGACGACCAGCCAGACUGGAACUGAGACACGGUCCAGACUCCUACGGGAGGCAGCAGUGGGGAAUUUUGGAUAAUGGGCGAAAGCCUGAUCCAGCCAUUCCGCGUGCAGGAUGAAAGCCCUCGGGUUGUAAACUGCUUUUGUACAGAACGAAAAGGUUUCUACUAAUACUAGGAGCUCAUGACGGUACUGUAAGAAUAAGCACCGGCUAACUACGUGCCAGCCGCCGCAGUAA